CAGUUCGUGGCAUGAUGUAUUACUAUAGAGCCCUUGAGAUUCUUGCAUAUCUUGAUUCUGCUUCGGAGAUGGAGAUAAAG